AACGAACGCGGGCGGCGCGUCUUAAGCAUGCAAGUCGAACGGUAAGGGGAGAGCUUGCUCUCCCCUAGAGUGGCGGACUGGUGAGUAACGCGUGGGUGACCUGCCCUGAAGAUGGGGAUAGCUAGUAGAAAUAUUAGAUAAUACCGAAUGUGCUCAUUUACAUAAAGGUAAAUGAGGAAAGGAGCUACGGCUCCGCUUCAGGAUGGGCCCGCGUCCCAUUAGCUGGUUGGUGAGGUAAAGGCUCACCAAGGCAACGAUGGGUAUCCGGCCUGAGAGGGUGAACGGACACAUUGGGACUGAGAUACGGCCCAAACUCCUACGGGAGGCAGCAGCUAAGAAUCUUCCGCAAUGGACGAAAGUCUGACGGAGCGACGCCGUGUGAAUGAAGAAGGCCGAAAGGUUGUAAAAUUCUUUUGCAGAUGAAGAAUAAGAAGAAGAGGGAAUGCUUCUUUGAUGACGGUAAUCAUGCGAAUAAGCCCCGGCUAAUUACGUGCCAGCAGCCGCGGUAACACGUAGGGGGCGAGCGUUGUUCGGAAUUAUUGGGCGUAAAGGGUAUGUAGGCGGUUAGGUAAGCCUGGUGUGAAAUCUACGAGCUCAACUCGUAAACUGCAUUGGGUACUGCUUAACUUGAAUCACGGAGGGGAAACCGGAAUUCCAAGUGUAGGGGUGGAAUCUGUAGAUAUUUGGAAGAACACCGGUGGCGAAGGCGGGUUUCUGGCCGAUGAUUGACGCUGAUAUACGAAGGUGCGGGGAGCAAACAGG
rnacentral:rRNA from 1 species